rnacentral:lncRNA from 1 species
AUUUACCUUUCAGUUUAGAGAGUACCAAACUCCUUUGUAAUUAACCAAAAAAGAAAAAAUAGAUUAAGGAAAUACAUGAGAUAAACAUAGAGUUCCAGAAAUUAGAGAAAAAAAAUUACAAAAAAAAAAGUUAAGGUGAAGAGGUGGCAACAAAAAAUUCUCACCUAUCAACUUAGAUGCAACAAAAAUGUCUACUUCCACUCCUCUACUUCCAUCAACACAAAAAUGUCUAUAACAUAUAUUUCGCAUCUUCCACCAUAAAUCAAAUUCAUAGCUUUGAAAAUAAUAUGAAAAAUGUAACUGAGAGGGAAAAGAAAUUGCUUGGGUGUGGUUGCAAUCC